CACCAUCAUCAAUGGGCCUGGUUGGUUUUGGUCAUGAGGCCCUUUUGACAUUUGAAAGCAUUUUGGGAUACAAGCGGAGAGCUGGUGUUCCAUCUUUGAUUGCUGGUCUCUUUUUUGGAUUUUUGGCUGGCUAUGAAGCUUACCGUGUAUCCAAUAACAAACGAGAUGUUAAACUGUCGUUGUUUACAGCCUUCUUCCUGGCCACCAUAAUGGGUGUGAGAUUUAAGAGGUCCCAGAAAAUAAUGCCUGCUGGGCUGGUUGUAGGUUUAAGCUUCAUGACUGCCCUGAGACUUGUUUUACUGCUGCUGUGA